AUUGAACGCUGGCGGCAUGCCUUACACAUGCAAGUCGAACGGUAACAGGUUAAGCUGACGAGUGGCGAACGGGUGAGUAAUAUAUCGGAACGUGCCCAGUCGUGGGGGAUAACUGCUCGAAAGAGCAGCUAAUACCGCAUACGACCUGAGGGUGGAAGCGGGGGAUCGCAAGACCUCGCGCGAUUGGAGCGGCCGAUAUCAGAUUAGCUAGUUGGCGGGGUAAAAGCCCACCAAGGCAACGAUCUGUAGCUGGUCUGAGAGGACGACCAGCCACACUGGGACUGAGACACGGCCCAGACUCCUACGGGAGGCAGCAGUGGGGAAUUUUGGACAAUGGACGCAAGUCUGAUCCAGCCAUGCCGCGUGCGGGAAGAAGGCCUUCGGGUUGUAAACCGCUUUUGUCAGGGAAGAAAAGGUUCUGGUUAAUACCUGGGACUCAUGACGGUACCUGAAGAAUAAGCACCGGCUAACUACGUGCCAGCCGCCGCCGUAACAC
rnacentral:rRNA from 1 species